CCAGCGUCCAGGGGAGGUGGACCAAGCCCGGACCGGGGCUGUCAAGAACAAUCUGCACCUAGAGCCACCAGCGAGGAUCCCCCAGUCGCCUCCAGAGUCCGCGGGAAUGAGCGUGGCGGUCGUAGACAUGUAAGUAUUGAAUUAAGUAGUUUUAAUUAGCAUUUUGUAUUAGGAUUUACAUUAAAUUUUGUAUUUCCCUUUUUUUCAGGGUUCCGUAGGCUCCACCAGGGAAGAUGAGGAGUUCGGGGUUCCGAGCAUAGAUAACCUGCUCCUCAUCAGACUGGUGGAGGCGCGUCCAGCAUUAUGGGACCACUCCGACCGCCACCACGCCGAUCAUCGUCGUACCCAGCGGCUCUGGAGGGACAUCUCUGCUUCAGUUUUUGAGACCUGGGGGGAUCUAGAUGCGGCGGCUCAGGAGAAAUAUGUCAAACUGGUUACAACGCAUUGGCGAUCUAUCCGGGACCGCUUCAGGAGGGAUUACAACAAGGAGGUUCAGGCCCCGAGUGGCUCCGGAGGAACCUCAGGGGCCACCUACAUCCAUACGGCAGCCCUGGGGUUCCUACG